CAGCAGCCGCGGGAAUACGAAGGGGGCUAGCGUUGUUCGGAAUUACUGGGCGUAAAGCGCACGUAGGCGGAUAUUUAAGUCAGGGGUGAAAUCCCGCAGCUCAACUGCGGAACUGCCUUUGAUACUGGGUAUCUUGAGUAUGGAAGAGGUUAGUGGAAUUGCGAGUGUAGAGGUGAAAUUCGUAGAUAUUCGCAGGAACACCAGUGGCGAAGGCGGCUAACUGGUCCAUAACUGACGCUGAGGUGCGAAAGCGUGGGGAGCAAACAGGAUUAGAUACCCCAGUAGUCCCUGUCUCUUAUAC
rnacentral:rRNA from 1 species